GACGAACGCUGGCGGCGUGCUUAACACAUGCAAGUCGAACGAAGAGCGACGGAAGCUUGCUUCUAUCAAUCUUAGUGGCGAACGGGUGAGUAACGCGUAAUCAACCUGCCCUUCAGAGGGGGACAACAGUUGGAAACGACUGCUAAUACCGCAUACGAUCUAAUCUCGGCAUCGAGGAUGGAUGAAAGGUGGCCUCGACAUGUAAGCUAUCACUGAAGGAGGGGAUUGCGUCUGUUUAGCUAGUUGGAGGGGUAACGGCCCAUCAAGGCGAUGAUAAGUAGCAGGUAUGCGAGGAUGAACGGCCACAUUGGGACUGAGACACGGCCCAGACUCCUACGGGAGGCAGCAGUGGGGAAUCUUCCGCAAUGGACGAAAGUCUGACGGAGCAACGCCGCGUGAGUGAUGACGGCCUUCGGGUUGUAAAGCUCUGUUAAUCGGGACGAAAGGCCUUCUUGCGAAUAGUGAGAAGGAUUGACGGUACCGGAAUAGAAAGCCACGGCUAACUACGUG
rnacentral:rRNA from 1 species